AGAGUUUGAUCCUGGCUCAGGACGAACGCUGGCGGCGCGCCUAACACAUGCAAGUCGAACGGAGCUUAGAGAGCUUGCUUUUUAAGCUUAGUGGCGAACGGGUGAGUAACGCGUGAGUAACCUGCCCUAGAGUGGGGGACAACAGUUGGAAACGACUGCUAAUACCGCAUAAGCCCACGGUGCCGCAUGACACUGAGGGAAAAGGAUUUAUUCGCUUUAGGAUGGACUCGCGUCCAAUUAGCUAGUUGGUGAGGUAACGGCCCACCAAGGCGACGAUUGGUAGCCGGACUGAGAGGUUGAACGGCCACAUUGGGACUGAGACACGGCCCAGACUCCUACGGGAGGCAGCAGUGGGGGAUAUUGCACAAUGGGGGAAACCCUGAUGCAGCGACGCCGCGUGGAGGAAGAAGGUUUUCGGAUUGUAAACUCCUGUCGUUAGGGACGAUAAUGACGGUACCUAACAAGAAAGCACCGGCUAACUACGUGCCAGCAGCCGCGGUAAAACGUAGGGUGCAAGCGUUGUCCGGAAUUACUGGGUGUAAAGGGAGCGCAGGCGGGAAGACAAGUUGGAAGUGAAAACCAUGGGCUCAACCCAUGAAUUGCUUUCAAAACUGUUUUUCUUGAGUAGUGCAGAGGUAGAUGGAAUUCCCGGUGUAGCGGUGGAAUGCGUAGAUAUCGGGAGGAACACCAGUGGCGAAGGCGGUCUACUGGGCACCAACUGACGCUGAGGCUCGAAAGCAUGGGUAGCAAACAGGAUUAGAUACCCUGGUAGUCCAUGCCGUAAACGAUGAUUACUAGGUGUUGGGGGAUUGACCCCCUCAGUGCCGCAGUUAACACAAUAAGUAAUCCACCUGGGGAGUACGACCGCAAGGUUGAAACUCAAAGGAAUUGACGGGGGCCCGCACAA
rnacentral:rRNA from 1 species